AGAGGGUUAGAUGAGGAACUGAAACAGAGGGAAACCUGUGCAUUGAACCCAUGGAUAGAACUAAGGAUAGAGUUAAAGGAAUGAAAGCAGAGCUGCAGUUGUCCCUCUUCCUUCUCCACAGGUAUAGAA